rnacentral:rRNA from 1 species
AUUUUGGGCAAUGGCCGAAAGGCUGACCCAGCGACGCCGCGUGCGGGAGGACGCCCUUCGGGGUGUAAACCGCUGUCAGAGGGGACGAAUGGUUCAGGCGGGAAUACUGCCUGGAUGUGACGGUACCCUCAGAGGAAGCACCGGCUAACGCUGUGCCAGCAGCCGCGGUAAUACAGAGGGUGCGAGCGUUGUUCGGAAUCACUGGGCGUAAAGCGCGCGCAGGCGGGACCUGCAAGUCGGAAGUGAAAGGCCGGGGCUCAACCCCGGAGCGGCUUUCGAGACUGCGGACCUGGAGACCAGUAGGGGUUGGUGGAAUUCCCGGUGUAGCGGUGGAAUGCGUAGAGAUCGGGAAGAACACCCGUGGCGAAGGCGGCCAACUGGGCUGGAUCUGACGCUGAGGCGCGAAAGCGUGGGGAGCAAACAGG